rnacentral:rRNA from 1 species
AAGACCCCUUGAAGACUACAAGGUUGAUAGGUCAGAGGUGUAAGUGCGGUAACGUAUUUAGCUGACUGAUACUAAUAGGUCGAGGGCUUGACCAAUAUAA